CCUACGGGUGGCAGCAGUGGGGAAUAUUGGACAAUGGGGGGAACCCUGAUCCAGCCAUGCCGCGUGUGUGAAGAAGGCCCUCGGGUUGUAAAGCACUUUCAGUGAGGAAGAACGCCUGGUGGUUAAUACCCAUCAGGAAAGACAUCACUCACAGAAGAAGCACCGGCUAACUCCGUGCCAGCAGCCGCGGUAAUACGGAGGGUGCGAGCGUUAAUCGGAAUUACUGGGCGUAAAGCGCGCGUAGGUGGCUUGAUAAGCCGGUUGUGAAAGCCCCGGGCUCAACCUGGGAACGGCAUCCGGAACUGUCAAGCUAGAGUGAAGGAGAGGAAGGUAGAAUUCCCGGUGUAGCGGUGAAAUGCGUAGAGAUCGGGAGGAAUACCAGUGGCGAAGGCGGCCUUCUGGACUGACACUGACGCUGAGGUGCGAAAGCGUGGGUAGCAAACAGGAUUAGAUACCCGAGUAGUC
rnacentral:rRNA from 1 species